rnacentral:rRNA from 1 species
CAGUAGCCGCGGAAUACGAAGGGUGCAAGCGUUACUCGGAAUUACUGGGCGUAAAGCGUGCGUAGGUGGUGGUUUAAGUCCGUUGUGAAAGCCCUGGGCUCAACCUGGGAAUUGCAGUGGAUACUGGGUCACUAGAGUGUGGUAGAGGAUAGUGGAAUUUCCGGUGUAGCAGUGAAAUGCGUAGAGAUCGGAAGGAACAUCUGUGGCGAAGGCGACUAUCUGGGCCAACACUGACACUGAGGCACGAAAGCGUGGGGAGCAAACAGGAUUAGAUACCCCAGUAGUCCCUGUCUCUUAUACA